rnacentral:rRNA from 1 species
GAUGAACGCUAGCGACAGGCCUAACACAUGCAAGUCGAGGGGCAGCACGAAGUAAGCUUGCUUACUUUGGUGGCGACCGGCGCACGGGUGCGUAACAGGUGUGCAAUCUGUCCAUAAUCGGGGAAUAGCCCAGCGAAAGUUGGAUUAAUGCUCCAUGUGAGUUUUAGAGGCAUCUCUUUAAUUUGAAACGUAAGGAUUAUGGGUGAGCACGCUUCUGAUUAGGUAGUUGGUGAGAUAACAGCCCACCAAGGCGACGAUCAGUAGCCGACCUGAGAGGGUGAUCGGCCACAUUGGGACUGAGACACGGCCCAAACUCCUACGGGAGGCAGCAGUGGGGAAUAUUGCACAAUGGGGGAAACCCUGAUGCAGCAACGCCGCGUGAAGGAUGAAGGUUUUCGGAUCGUAAACUCCUGUCGUAAGGGACGAUAAUGACGGUACCUUACAAGAAAGCUCCGGCUAACUACGUG